GGGGCCGUAGCUCAGUUGGGAGAGCGUCUCGUUCGCAAUGAGGAGGUCGUGGGUUCGAUCCCCGCCGGCUCCACCA
rnacentral:tRNA from 1 species